rnacentral:rRNA from 1 species
AAGAUUCGAAUUUGCGAUCGCUCAGCCUGCGAGUCGAGAGGGUUCGGCCCUCGGCUGACGGCUCAGUAACACGUGGAUAAUCUGCCCUAAGGUGGAGGAUAACCUCGGGAAACUGAGAAUAAUACUCCAUAGGUCUAGGAUGCUGGAAUGCACUUAGGCUCAAAACUUCGGUGCCCUAGGAUGAGUCUGCGGACUAUUAGGUUGUAGUCAGGGUAAAGACCUGACUAGCCUACGACGGAUACGGGUUGUGAGAGCAAUAACCCGGAGAUGAUAUCUGAGACACGAUAUCAGGCCCUACGGGGCGCAGCAGGCGCGAAAACUUCGCACUGCGCGAAAGCGCGACGAGGGAAUCCCAAGUGUAUGCACGUAAGUGUAUACUGUUUUUCUGUCUAAAAAGCAGAGAGAGUAAGAGCUGGGUAAGACGGGUGCCAGCCGCCGCGGUAAUACCUGCAGCUCGAGUGGUGAUCGUUAUUAUUGGGCCUAAAACGUCCGUAGCCCGGUCUUGUAAAUGCCUGGGUAAAUCGUAUGGCUUAACCAUACGAAUUCUGGGUAGACUGUUAGACUUGAGACCGGGAGAAGCUAGAGGUACUCCUGGGGUAGAGGUGAAAUUCUGUAAUCCUAGGGGGACCACCAGUGGCGAAGGCGUCUAGCUAGAACGGGUCUGACGGUGAGGGACGAAGCCCUGGGGCGCAAACGGGAUUAGAUACCCCGGUAGUCCAGGGUGUAAACGCUGCUUGCUUGAUGUUAGUCGGGCUUCGAGCCCGAUUAGUGUCGGAGAGAAGUUGUUAAGCAAGCUGCCUGGAAGUACGGCCGCAAGACUGAAACUUAAAG